AGUGAACGCUGGCGGUAGGCCUAACACAUGCAAGUCGAACGGCAGCACAGUAAGCGCUUGCUCUUACGGGUGGCGAGUGGCGGACGGGUGAGGAAUACAUCGGUAUCUACUUUUUCGUGGGGGAUAACGUAGGGAAACUUACGCUAAUACCGCAUACGACCUACGGGUGAAAGCAGGGGAUCUUCGGACCUUGCGCGAUUGAAUGAGCCGAUGUCGGAUUAGCUAGUUGGCGGGGUAAAGGCCCACCAAGGCGACGAUCCGUAGCUGGUCUGAGAGGAUGAUCAGCCACACUGGAACUGAGACACGGUCCAGACUCCUACGGGAGGCAGCAGUGGGGAAUAUUGGACAAUGGGCGCAAGCCUGAUCCAGCCAUACCGCGUGGGUGAAGAAGGCCUUCGGGUUGUAAAGCCCUUUUGUUGGGAAAGAAAAGCAGCAGGUUAAUACCCCGCUGUUCUGACGGUACCCAAAGAAUAAGCACCGGCUAACUUCGUG
rnacentral:rRNA from 1 species